GCACGUUUUGCGUCUUGCGUCAUCAUGUAGUGGCUUACUGGCGCGCGUUCUUUCGGUCGGUGCAGAGUGAAAUGGAUGGAAAUUCGUGGAACAACACCACCAGAGACUGAAACCCAUCAUCGUAUUUUUACAAGAUUGAAGCCGAGUUUGCUCGCCUCACCACUGUUGACCUGAAAGGCUGUCUCUUUGCUGGCCUUGACAAGUCUGCAGAGGUUUAUUGAUCUCUACAGAGCCAAGUGUGGUGGAGCUGAAGAAACUGUUGACAACACUGGAUAGUGAUUGUUCCAACCAAUGGAAAAGGACCAUCGUGCUGAUGGGGCUCCCCGACUACCUCAAAGAUGUUGCGUCCAACUUUUACAAGAAAGUUCAGGCCACAGUUGCUGAGGAGGACAUGACGAGAGGAAUGACUGUGGGCAUCCUCGUGGUGGCAGACGGGAAUGAUACUGUUGGUUUCGCUGUGGUCAUUGAGGAAGAAAUCAUCCUUCCGUCGCUCAGUGAUUUUCCAACGGCUGUGGCACUUCUGAUGGGUCUGCUCUAUGCACUGAACAUUGAAUACCCCAAAGACACAAGGUACACAUUUGAAGUCAUUCAGAAGGUGCUCAUGGACAUUGGUGGAGGCCAUUGCACUGCGUUGGUUCAUGGCUUGAGAAACAGACUCUUGAGGAAAACCAUGUAAGCUUAAAGCAGAGUUUAAGCUUUGCCCAAAUGUGAACAAAAUGUGAACUUGAUUGAGAAAUGGACUCUUUGUUAUUUUUGUUAGAUGUCUUAUACAUUGUGUACUGUUUGGGGGACACAAUAACACACACGGUAUGGAUUUAUUUGGGGGACACAGUAACACACGGUGUGGAUUUAUUUGGGGGACACAGUAACACACUCGGUGUGUUUAUUUUGGGGACAGGGUAACACACUCGUGUGUGUUCAUUUUGAAAGACAGUAAAACACACAGUAUGGAUUUAUUUGGGGGAAGGGAACACAAACUGGGGUUUUAUCCACAGUGUGUAUGUGAUCAAUCUUGUUAUUUGUGAUGCACUUUUUUAUUCUUUGGUUAAUUGCUCUAUUAUUUGUAACUGGCUGCACAUUGUUUAAUGCCAAAACAUUUGUUUAAGAGGUCAUCAAAAUGGGAAAAUUGCCUUAAAUGUCUAUAACUUACAAUGCAAGAUACAUUUUAGUAUUGGUGAUUGCCUAAAUAGGAUGCAUUAAAUAAUGGACACCUAGUGAGAUGGUACAAAUGUUCCAUUUUUAUGACAUCAUGUGUUGGUACUGUUUUAAAGGAGUAGCUCACUCAAAAAUGACUUAUUUUCUAUCACUUACACACCUCAGGAAGCCUUCAAUUCAUUUAUUUUUUUAUUUUUGUUGCAUUCCUUAUUGAGACAAAAAUGUGAGUCUUCACUCUUUAAUCAAAUUAUUGGCUCAAUAAUGCAAAAACAAACAAUCUUCAUGAAUUCAAGCCUUCAUGGGGUGUGUAACUGAUAGAAAAUAAGUAUUUGUUCCAAAAAGUUAUUGUAUUUACUCAUCUGUUUUUAUUAAAGAGGCUUGAGUUAGA